CAAUAGCGUAUAUUAAAGUUGUUGCAGUUAAAAAGCUCGUAGUUGGAUUUCUGGUCGGAAGCUCCUGUCCUCUGAUGAGCGUACAAGUGCGUCCUACCAUCCUUCUGUUAACCUUUAAGGCUUUCGCGGCUUUCUAGGGGCUCAGAUAUUUUACCUUGAGAAAAUUAGAGUGUUUCAGGCAGGCUAGCGCCGGAAUACAUUAGCGUGGAAUAAUGGAAUAGGACUUUUGCCUCUUCUGUUGGUCAUGAGGCUCGAGUAAUGAUUAAUAGGGAUAGUUGGGGGCAUUAGUACUUAACUGUCAGAGGUGAAAUUCUCGGAUUUGUUAAAGACUAACUUAUGCGAAAGCAUUUGCCAAGGAUGUUUUCAUUAA
rnacentral:rRNA from 1 species